rnacentral:rRNA from 1 species
CACGUAGGGGGCAAGCGUUGUCCGGAUUUAUUGGGCGUAAAGAGCUCGUAGGCGGUUCGGUAAGUCGGGUGUGAAACCUCCAGGCUCAACCUGGAGACGCCACCCGAUACUGCUGUGACUAGAGUCCGGUAGGGGAGCGUGGAAUUCCUGGUGUAGCGGUGAAAUGCGCAGAUAUCAGGAGGAACACCAGCGGCGAAGGCGGCGCUCUGGGCCGGAACUGACGCUGAGGAGCGAAAGCGUGGGGAGCGAACGGG